rnacentral:rRNA from 1 species
GGUUAAGCGACUAAGCGUACACGGUGGAUGCCCUGGCAGUCAGAGGCGAUGAAGGACGUGCUAAUCUGCGAUAAGCGUCGGUAAGGUGAUAUGAACCGUUAUAACCGGCGAUUUCCGAAUGGGGAAACCCAGUGUGUUUCGACACACUAUCAUUAACUGAAUCCAUAGGUUAAUGAGGCGAACCGGGGGAACUGAAACAUCUAAGUACCCCGAGGAAAAGAAAUCAACCGAGAUUCCCCCAGUAGCGGCGAGCGAACGGGGAGCAGCCCAGAGCCUGAAUCAGUGUGUGUGUUAGUGGAAGCGUCUGGAAAGGCGCGCGAUACAGGGUGACAGCCCCGUACACAAAAAUGCACAUAUUGUGAGCUCGAUGAGUAGGGCGGGACACGUGGUAUCCUGUCUGAAUAUGGGGGGACCAUCCUCCAAGGCUAAAUACUCCUGACUGACCGAUAGUGAACCAGUACCGUGAGGGAAAGGCGAAAAGAACCCCGGCGAGGGGAGUGAAAAAGAACCUGAAACCGUGUACGUACAAGCAGUGGGAGCACGCUUAGGCGUGUGACUGCGUACCUUUUGUAUAAUGGGUCAGCGACUUAUAUUCUGUAGCAAGGUUAACCGAAUAGGGGAGCCGAAGGGAAACCGAGUCUUAACUGGGCGUUAAGUUGCAGGGUAUAGACCCGAAACCCGGUGAUCUAGCCAUGGGCAGGUUGAAGGUUGGGUAACACUAACUGGAGGACCGAACCGACUAAUGUUGAAAAAUUAGCGGAUGACUUGUGGCUGGGGGUGAAAGGCCAAUCAAACCGGGAGAUAGCUGGUUCUCCCCGAAAGCUAUUUAGGUAGCGCCUCGUGAAUUCAUCUCCGGGGGUAGAGCACUGUUUCGGCAAGGGGGUCAUCCCGACUUACCAACCCGAUGCAAACUGCGAAUACCGGAGAAUGUUAUCACGGGAGACACACGGCGGGUGCUAACGUCCGUCGUGAAGAGGGAAACAACCCAGACCGCCAGCUAAGGUCCCAAAGUCAUGGUUAAGUGGGAAACGAUGUGGGAAGGCCCAGACAGCCAGGAUGUUGGCUUAGAAGCAGCCAUCAUUUAAAGAAAGCGUAAUAGCUCACUGGUCGAGUCGGCCUGCGCGGAAGAUGUAACGGGGCUAAACCAUGCACCGAAGCUGCGGCAGCGACGCUUAUGCGUUGUUGGGUAGGGGAGCGUUCUGUAAGCCUGCGAAGGUGUGCUGUGAGGCAUGCUGGAGGUAUCAGAAGUGCGAAUGCUGACAUAAGUAACGAUAAAGCGGGUGAAAAGCCCGCUCGCCGGAAGACCAAGGGUUCCUGUCCAACGUUAAUCGGGGCAGGGUGAGUCGACCCCUAAGGCGAGGCCGAAAGGCGUAGUCGAUGGGAAACAGGUUAAUAUUCCUGUACUUGGUGUUACUGCGAAGGGGGGACGGAGAAGGCUAUGUUGGCCGGGCGACGGUUGUCCCGGUUUAAGCGUGUAGGCUGGUUUUCCAGGCAAAUCCGGAAAAUCAAGGCUGAGGCGUGAUGACGAGGCACUACGGUGCUGAAGCAACAAAUGCCCUGCUUCCAGGAAAAGCCUCUAAGCAUCAGGUAACAUCAAAUCGUACCCCAAACCGACACAGGUGGUCAGGUAGAGAAUACCAAGGCGCUUGAGAGAACUCGGGUGAAGGAACUAGGCAAAAUGGUGCCGUAACUUCGGGAGAAGGCACGCUGAUAUGUAGGUGAAGUCCCUCGCGGAUGGAGCUGAAAUCAGUCGAAGAUACCAGCUGGCUGCAACUGUUUAUUAAAAACACAGCACUGUGCAAACACGAAAGUGGACGUAUACGGUGUGACGCCUGCCCGGUGCCGGAAGGUUAAUUGAUGGGGUUAGCCGCAAGGCGAAGCUCUUGAUCGAAGCCCCGGUAAACGGCGGCCGUAACUAUAACGGUCCUAAGGUAGCGAAAUUCCUUGUCGGGUAAGUUCCGACCUGCACGAAUGGCGUAAUGAUGGCCAGGCUGUCUCCACCCGAGACUCAGUGAAAUUGAACUCGCUGUGAAGAUGCAGUGUACCCGCGGCAAGACGGAAAGACCCCGUGAACCUUUACUAUAGCUUGACACUGAACAUUGAGCCUUGAUGUGUAGGAUAGGUGGGAGGCUUUGAAGUGUGGACGCCAGUCUGCAUGGAGCCGACCUUGAAAUACCACCCUUUAAUGUUUGAUGUUCUAACGUUGACCCGUGAUCCGGGUUGCGGACAGUGUCUGGUGGGUAGUUUGACUGGGGCGGUCUCCUCCUAAAGAGUAACGGAGGAGCACGAAGGUUGGCUAAUCCUGGUCGGACAUCAGGAGGUUAGUGCAAUGGCAUAAGCCAGCUUGACUGCGAGCGUGACGGCGCGAGCAGGUGCGAAAGCAGGUCAUAGUGAUCCGGUGGUUCUGAAUGGAAGGGCCAUCGCUCAACGGAUAAAAGGUACUCCGGGGAUAACAGGCUGAUACCGCCCAAGAGUUCAUAUCGACGGCGGUGUUUGGCACCUCGAUGUCGGCUCAUCACAUCCUGGGGCUGAAGUAGGUCCCAAGGGUAUGGCUGUUCGCCAUUUAAAGUGGUACGCGAGCUGGGUUUAGAACGUCGUGAGACAGUUCGGUCCCUAUCUGCCGUGGGCGCUGGAGAACUGAGGGGGGCUGCUCCUAGUACGAGAGGACCGGAGUGGACGCAUCACUGGUGUUCGGGUUGUCAUGCCAAUGGCACUGCCCGGUAGCUAAAUGCGGAAGAGAUAAGUGCUGAAAGCAUCUAAGCACGAAACUUGCCCCGAGAUGAGUUCUCCCUGACUCCUUGAGAGUCCUGAAGGAACGUUGAAGACGACGACGUUGAUAGGCCGGGUGUGUAAGCGCAGCGAUGCGUUGAGCUAACCGGUACUAAUGAACCGUGAGGCUUAACCUU